GAUGAACGCUAGCUACAGGCUUAACACAUGCAAGUCGAGGGGAAACGACAUCGAAAGCUUGCUUUUGAUGGGCGUCGACCGGCGCACGGGUGAGUAACGCGUAUCCAACCUGCCCAUCACUUGGGAAUAACCUUGCGAAAGUAAGACUAAUACCCAAUGAUAUCCCACGAAGGCAUCGGAAUGGGAUUAAAGAUUUAUCGGUGAUGGAUGGGGAUGCGUCUGAUUAGCUUGUUGGCGGGGUAACGGCCCACCAAGGCAACGAUCAGUAGGGGUUCUGAGAGGAAGGUCCCCCACAUUGGAACUGAGACACGGACCAAACUCCUACGGGAGGCAGCAGUGAGGAAUAUUAGUCAAUGGGCGAGGGCCUGAACCAGCCAAGUAGCGUGCAGGAAGACGGCCCUAUGGGUUGUAAACUGCUUUUAUAAGGGAAUAAAGUGGGUCACGUGUGACUUUUUGCAUGUACCUUAUGAAUAAGGACCGGCUAAUUCCGUG
rnacentral:rRNA from 1 species